rnacentral:ncRNA from 2 species
ACCUAAGGUAGAGGAGCUGUUUAUAAAUAGUACUUAUUUAAGAGUUGGCAAACGUUGAUUAAUAAGGAAAGGUAUGAUGGCCGAAGAAAUAAAUCAAGCAAAAAUUUAUUUCUGGGUAUGUAUAGAACAUAUGCAUAACUGUCACGAAAGUGGGGAGCUACAAGGAUU